rnacentral:tmRNA from 1 species
GGGGCUGUUAGGUUUCUACAUACAAUUGAAUAAUUUAAGCUCUAGAGGAUGAAGGUGAGCUAUACUUCAUUAAUCCUAGCUCUAUCAUAAAUGCAAAACAUAAAAUAGUUCCUUUUUCUAGAAGCCUAGUACACGCAUAAUUUUUUAGCAGUUUACUUGUUAUUUUUUAGAAUAUCAGCUUAUAUUUCUCCAGUAUAAUUUGAUAUAUCUUCUUGGAGAUGCUCUUAAAUUCUAAAUUUAAGCAAAGUUUGAGAACAAAGCUCGAUAGAAUAUUUUCCUCUGCAUUGUUUUAAUCCUUUAAAUUGGGAUUGCUUAACAUGAUAAGCUUAUAAGCUAAAUUGAUAUGGACGUGGGUUCGAGUCCCACCAGCUCCA